CUUCGUCUUUGAGCCUCCCCAAAUCUGGAGACAUCUCCAAAGGCUACAAUUUCGCUUCCACUUGGGAACAGAGCGCUCCUUUGACUGAGCAACAACAAGCAGCUAUAGUUUCUUUAUCACACGCAGUAGCUGAGCGGCCAUUUCCUGCCAAUCUUGUACAUGAGCAUGCAAUUCACAGGCCAGAGAAUGGCUUGUCUGUCUCAGUGGAGGACACAAAUUUGGAGGAUUCUGGAGCAAUUGAAGCUGUUUUGGUUAAUACA